rnacentral:tRNA from 1 species
GCCCACGUAGCUCAGUUGGCAGAGCAGGUGACUCUUAAUCAUCAGGUCGUAGGUUCGAGCCCUACCGUGGGCACCA